rnacentral:rRNA from 1 species
GACGAACGCUGGCGGCGUGCCUAAUACAUGCAAGUAGAACGCUGAAGAGAGGAGCUUGCUCUUCUUGGAUGAGUUGCGAACGGGUGAGUAACGCGUAGGUAACCUGCCUUGUAGCGGGGGAUAACUAUUGGAAACGAUAGCUAAUACCGCAUAACAAUGGAUGACACAUGUCAUUUAUUUGAAAGGGGCAAAUGCUCCACUACAAGAUGGACCUGCGUUGUAUUAGCUAGUAGGUGAGGUAACGGCUCACCUAGGCGACGAUACAUAGCCGACCUGAGAGGGUGAUCGGCCACACUGGGACUGAGACACGGCCCAGACUCCUACGGGAGGCAGCAGUAGGGAAUCUUCGGCAAUGGGGGCAACCCUGACCGAGCAACGCCGCGUGAGUGAAGAAGGUUUUCGGAUCGUAAAGCUCUGUUGUAAGUCAAGAACGAGUGUGAGAGUGGAAAGUUCACACUGUGACGGUAG